GGGGUUAUGGCUUAGUGGUAGAGCGCUCACCUCGCACGUGCGAGACCCUGGGUUCGAUCCUCAGCCCCA
rnacentral:tRNA from 1 species